rnacentral:rRNA from 1 species
CCCUAUAGAUGAUGGGGUUGAUAGGCUAGGUAUGGACGCGGGGAAUGCCCGUGGAGUUGACUGGUACUAAUAGUCCGAAGGCUUACA